CCCUUAGAUGUUCUGGGCCGCACGCGCGCUACACUGAUGCAUUCAACAAGCCUAGCCUUGACCGAGUGGUCCGGGUAAUCUUUGAAACUGCAUCGUGAUGGGGCUAGAUUAUUGCAAUUAUUAAUCUUCAACGAGGAAUGCCUAGUAAGCGUGAUUCAUCAAAUCGCGUUGAUUACGUCCCUGCCCUUUGUACACACCGCCCGUCGCUCCUACCGAUUGAAUGUGUUGGUGAGGAGCUCGGAUUGGCAGCAGUUGGUGGUUCGCCACCGGCUAUUGCUGAGAAGUCCUCCAAACCGCCCCAUUUAGAGGAAGGAGAAGUCGUAACA
rnacentral:rRNA from 1 species